rnacentral:rRNA from 1 species
GACAUUAGUCAAGUGGUAGGGGAGCGUUCUGUAAGCCGAUGAAGGUGUAUUGAGAAGUAUGCUGGAGGUAUCAGAAGUGCGAAUGCUGACGUGAGUAACGACAAAACGGGUGAAAAACCCGUUCGCCGAAAGACCAAGGGUUCCAGUCCAACGUUAAUCGGGGCUGGGUGAGUCGACCCCUAAGGCGAGGCCGAAAGGCGUAGUCGAUGGGAAAUUGGUUAAUAUUCCAAUACUUCUGUGUAAUGCGAUGAGAGGACGGAGAAGGUUAAGUCAGCCUGGCGUUGGUUGUCCAGGUGGAAGGAUGUAGGUAUGUAUCUUAGGCAAAUCCGGGGUACUCUAUACUGAGAUCCGAUAGCAAGCUGUACUUGUACAGUGAAGUGGCUGAUACCAUGCUUCCAGGAAAAGUCUCUAAGCUUCAGUUACACAGGAAUCGUACCCGAAACCGACACAGGUGGUCAGGUCGAGUAGACCAAGGCGCUUGAGAGAACUCUGCUGAAGGAACUAGGCAAAAUGGUACCGUAACUUCGGGAGAAGGUACGCUGUUGUUGGUGAUGGAACUUGCUUCCUGAGCUGACGACAGCCG